rnacentral:rRNA from 1 species
CCCUUAGAUGUUCUGGGCUGCACGCGCGCUACACUGAUGCACUCAACGAGUUUACGACCUUGCCCGAUAGGGUUGGGUAAUCUUUUUAAAAUGCAUCGUGAUGGGGAUAGAUUAUUGCAAUUAUUAAUCUUCAACGAGGAAUUCCUAGUAAGCGCGAGUCAUCAGCUCGCGUUGAUUACGUCCCUGCCCUUUGUACACACCGCCCGUCGCUCCUACCGAUUGAAUGUGUUGGUGAGGAGCUCGGAUUGGCAGCAGUUGGUGGUUCGCCACCGGCUAUUGCUGAGAAGUCCUCCAAACCGCCCCAUUUAGAGGAAGGAGAAGUCGUAACA